AGGGAGUUGGGUAUAGUGACACAAAGGGUAAAAGUAGGGGUACGAAGUAAGUUAUUAGAAAAAUAUACGCUGAGGGCUUAGUAGGUAAUAUUUGACAGUUGCAGGAGAGGAGUCAUGGAGGGUGGAGGAUAAAAACCUGCUAACAGUUUAAUUGAUACGCUUUCUUGAAGAAGUGAGUUUUCAAUGAUUUUCAGAAUGAGUUGAGACUGGGUGAAAU